rnacentral:lncRNA from 1 species
UCACUAAGAAAUUCAGAUCUCAUCAAAAGUCCAAGCAUAUAGAGCGAUAGUUUCAUAUUAUACACGAAUAUCUCGAGAAGAAGUUCGCUGAGGUGCAGAGAGUUGACUCCACAUAGAAUAUGGUAGACCCACUGAUCAAGCCUCUCAACCAGCAGAAGACUGAAACUCACUUUGAGAAGAUGGAUCUUAAGUAUAUGGCCAAUUGGCUUUAGAUCAAAUGGGAGUUUGUUAGAUGAGUGUCCUAAAAAUCAAUUAUUGGCUGAUAUAUUAUAUAAUUCGAGGACAUAACUUUAUACUCGUAAUAUAUUUAUUAUUAAUAAAGAGUAAUUUUAUUCCAAUCAUAUCUAUGUAUCCAUAAUUUAUCUUAGAAAUUAAUAAAGAAGAUUUUGUAUAUUCUCAAGGUGUUGAGAAUUUGAGACAUAUAUUAUUAGUAGUUAGUUUCUAAAUACUUUCGAUCGAAAGAUCGUCACGAAGGAUAGUGAUUAAUAUACUUUAGAUUGGUGCAUGAAUCACCUUCCUUUUGGAUAGAUAAGUCUCAAGUUUGUAGUAUAAGAAUAUUGAAAUAAGAGUGCAGGUGGUUGUUAGAGAACAACUUACAUUGAGCGUGACCAAUACGAAAAACUACUUGGAUGUCUACUCACUCAUUAGUAGUCUUUUCAAUACUACAGUGAUGUGAGUGAUCCUUUGAUCUGUGAUGCAUCGGCUAUUCACAAUGAGGCUACUGUAGUCUGACUGCACAUUCACUUGGUCCUUAAUCAUUCAGAUUCUUACUGUGUAUGUUGGCUACGGUGGAUUUAAAUUCACUACUUGAAGUAGGGUGCACCUAAUAAAAUCUAUCGACCUUGGUAGAAAAAGAUAAGUCCUAUGCGAUUUGCGAGAUUAAGUUCAGAAAAUCUUUGGCCAAAAUAAGUAUGAAUACUGAAAAAAAAAUUUCACAAGAUUUACAAAUGAACUCGAAUCGAGCCAAUUUGAUAUAUGACUGAAGUUGGGGUAUGACGAGUUCUCCAUGAUCUCCAUCAAGUCGGAAAUCAUGAUAGAAGAAUUAAAUCAUACAGCAACUAUAACAUCCGCAACCAAUAAAUAGUGAAUCAAAAAAACUAAUACUUGCACUUCGUACUUAAGCAUGUGUGGCACAGGAUUUCAUCUAUGGUUUACUUGAGCAUUUGAAUGUUUAAUUGGGCAGUAAUGGAGUAUAAAUUUAGUUAUUGGUUAAGAAAGAAAAUGAUUGGAAAAUUAGAUUGAUAAUAGUAAUAAAGAAGCUGAAUUUUUGAUGAUUUAUGAUCCUAAAAUGAGUUGAUAUUUUAAAGAGCAUCUUAAGAAUUAGAUAUGUGGUAAUUUUGUGAUUUAAAAUCAUGAUUUCAAUAAUUUAUGCCACUUAGCCGGCUCAGUUGGAGGAUGAGCCAACUAAAUCUCAAAAAGUGUGCCAGACAAAAAGUGAGAGUUUCAAAAAAUUCUGAUGGCAUGCAGUUAAGCCAACCCAAUUUUAUACUAAGUCGACUAAAUUCUAGACUGAGUCAGCUUAGUCUCAGAUGAGUCAGCUAACCUACAAAAAAUUUUGAAAAAUGAGAUUUAGCCGAGGUGUUUCAAGUUGAAAUUUAAAAAUAACUUGUAAGG